CCUACGGGUGGCAGCAGUGGGGAAUAUUGGGCAAUGGGCGCAAGCCUGACCCAGCAACGCCGCGUGAAGGAAGAAGGCUUUCGGGUUGUAAACUUCUUUUCUGGGGGACGAACAAAUGAAGGUUCCCCAGGAAUAAGCCCCGGAUAACUACGGGCCAGCCGCCGCGGUAAUACGUAGGUGGCAAGCGUUUUCCGGAUUUAUUGGGUGUAAAGGGCGUGUAGGCGGGAAUGCAAGUCAGAUGUGAAAACUCAGGGCUCAACCCUGAGCCUGCAUUUGAAACUGUGGUUCUUGAGUGCUGGAGAGGCAGGCGGAAUUCCGUGUGUAGCGGUGAAAUGCGUAGAUAUACGGAGGAACACCAGUGGCGAAGGCGGAUUGCUGGACAGUAACUGACGCUGAGGCGCGAAAGCGUGGGGAGCAAACAGGAUUAGAUACCCUUGUAGUC
rnacentral:rRNA from 1 species